CUCUGACAAAGUGUUAUUAUUCAGAGUCCCCUUAUAAUAAGCUAGCAUGGGCUUUGCUUGACCUACAGUUUGUCCUUCUUGCUUCUGCCAUGAGCUCAUCGCCCAACUUGUGCGGUUACAUUUGAAAGGCUAUCAGAAAUAGUCUAUCUCUCCAUCUUUUCCCAGACCUUUCCAGAAGUAAGGUAUCUCACAUCUCCUGUACAAGAAGAGAAUUUAGGGAGCUUAGUGAUGAAAUGAAGUGGAUAAACAUAGCAAACACUUUCAGGCCAUAGGGGUGGUGAGAGAAGCAUUGAAGGCCGCUGUCUCUGCUGUCAGGCUGCGGGCUGGCAGGGUCAGUGGGAAAAAUGGGAAAUGAGAGGCAAGGUGUACAUUAAAUAAUCAUGCAAAACAGAAACCAACAAUCCUCCUGAGGAGCAUAUAGAAUAAUACUGUCCAAAAGGAAUAUAAUGUAAACCACGUACUUAAUUUUAAAUAUUCUAGUGUCCACAUCCAUCUCUAAAGUGGUGAUUAAAGGGACCUACCUCAUGAUGCUGCUGGAAGAUUUUAAAUGUGAAAAAUAUGUAAAAUUCUUAGCAUAGUUCCUGAAUAUAGUAAGAAUCAGUUUUGUUUCUUAAAACUUCCAUGGUUUAUUCCACAUCCAGACUGAAUUGUUGAGCUCAGAUUUAUGUGUCAUACAAACUCUGAAUGCGUAUCCAUUUAACAAUUACAUCUCCUAUUUAUAUUAUGUCCAAAUUAUUUUUCAAAUCAAGAUCGUCUUUUCUACUCCCUGCACUGAGUUAAAUGCUUUUAUUUGAUUAUCUACCUUCACUCCUUGCUCUCUUACCUGCAAAUAUAUGUUUUAUUUAUGUCAGUUAUUGAAUUAUGUUGUUGUAAUUGAGUCUUUUCUCCUGUAUACCAAGCAUGAAUGUAAGCUUCAGCAAGGCAAAGACAAUGUUUGCCUUGUUUCUCUCUAGAACAAUGCUCGACUCAUUUAGACACAAAUUUAUUGAAUGGAUAAAUAAAUGAAUGAAUGUAUUUAUGCUUUCUAGUGUUCCCAAAUGACAAUAUAGAUCUCAUCCAUCUUAUAACCCUAUUGUUUAGCACACUCUCUCAGAACGUACCAGAGCAGACUGUCAAAUGUUUGUCCAGCUGAGCAACAAUGAAACCCAUUAUCUCUACAGAGUAAUACUUUAGGUCCUUUUAUUCCCAGUAAUAGCAAAUAGUCUUUCAGUUAAUUCAUGAAGUAACAAUAGCAUCAAGGUUUCUCACUGGCUCUUUGUUCCAGUAUAACUGUGGGAAAUGAUCCACUGAGGAAGAAAGUUCAGCAGGAUAUCAAUGUGUGUCACGUGAAGAGUGUUCAGUGCUCAAAUAAAUUUGGAAAACCUUGAACUAAAUCAAGUUCAACACAUUUCUUUAUAGUUAAAAUUCUUGGGAUGUUUAAUUAGCUAAUGUGCAUUUUGAACCUCCUAGUAAGGGCUAUACAAUAACACUUUAUUUCUCACAUUUCUUUGGCCUUGAAGUACUUCAGUGCACUUUGAUGAGAAUUAAAAAAAUUAAAAAAAUCUUAACAUGGCUUAAGAGGUUUUUGAAGGACCUGUAUCUGCUCUCAUCUUAACAUAUUCUUUCUAUUGCUCAUUAAUCUCUUACCACUCUGGUGCUUUUCCUGCAUCGGGGCCUCUGCACAUGCUUCUCUCUCUGCUUUGAGCAUUUCCCUUGUAUGGCUAUCUCCUAUGUGUUUUCCAGUCCACAGUGUAAAAGCCCCUUCUUUACCAGUGUAAAUUCCCCUGGAAUGUUUAUUUGUGGCUUCUUCUUUUUAUCUGUCAUUUAUUUAUGAUAAUCUGUGGCUAAAAUUUGUGAUAGUCACAUUCUGUAUUUUAAAAUAGUUAAAAAUUACCUAUUUUUCCUUUGAUCUCAUAGUUAGGAAAUAUACCGUUGUAUCAGUUGGGCAUGUGAAAAUUCCAUAUUAUAAACAUUGUUAAUGGUGUCUAUAUUUUUGUAAAGAAUAUCCUACUUGAAAUUUGUAUCCUUGACAUAAAGUGAAAAUUUUCACUAAUCCUUUAACCAAUAAAGGUAUAGUGACAGUAACAUGUGGUAGUUAGGGGAGGGAAUUAGGGGAGAUUUGCUUUGUCAUUCAAGCUCUUCUGUGUCUAGGCUAUGCGCAGCUCCUUCCCAAGGGGUGCUCAUCGCUUUUAAUUAUGUACUUCACUGAAACCUUCAUAUUUCCAUCUCUUCUUUACCACUCCCAAACCCCUAUCAACAUGUCGUAUCCUUUAUAAUGUAUGUUUUGAAGAAAUGAAACUUCUUUAUUAUUAUUUCCUCAAGCAGAAAAUAAUAGCACAACCUGCUUCAGGAUUUACACUUAUUUAAGAAAAUACUAUGUAUUAGUCUUCCUGCAACAGCGCAUCAAAAGUUUAGCUGUCUUUCUUCUCCUU